rnacentral:pre_miRNA from 1 species
AAAAAGACAAACCCUGAUUUCCGUGUCCAACGUUUGACCGUCCGUCUUAUUUGAAAAAAUUAUUAAAAAAAUUUAAAAGAUAAGUCACGCAUAAAGUGUUAAUCAUGUUUUAUCAUCUAACAACAAUGAAAAUACUAAUUAUAAAAAAAUUUCAUAUAAGACGGACAAUCAAACGUUGGCACGGGAACCCACGGUUUGCCUUUUU